rnacentral:rRNA from 1 species
GACGAACGCUGGCGGCGUGGAUUAGGCAUGCAAGUCGAACGGUAGGAUCCUUUCGGGGAUCUGAGAGUGGCGAACGGGUGAGUAACACGUAGGUGAUCUACCCUCAAGACGGGGACAACCCAGGGAAACUUGGGCUAAUACCGGAUGUGAGCUAUCGCGAGAUAGUUUGAAAGGUGGCUUCGGCUGCCGCUUGAGGAUGAGCCUGCGUCCUAUUAGCUAGUUGGUGAGGUAACGGCUCACCGAGGCAGUGAUAGGUAGGCGGCCUUAACGGGUGGUCGCCCACACUGGGAUUGAGAUACGGCCCAGACUCCUACGGGAGGCAGCAGUCGAGAAUAGUCUACAAUGGUCGAAAGACUGAUAGUGCGACGCCGCGUGAACGAAGAAGCCCUUGGGGUGUAAAGUUCUUUUAUAUGUGAGCAGUGACACCCAUAUUAAUAGUAUGGGUGUAGAGAUAUUAGACAGUUAUGAAUAAGCAACGGCUAACUCCGUGCCCAGCCAGCCCG